UUGCUUUUGCAGCUUGUAUUCUAAAAUUGGAAUGACACAGAGAUGAUUAGCCUGGCUGCAGUGCAAGGAUGGCCAGCAGGUUCAUGAAACAUUCCAUACCUCG
ensembl:snRNA U6 U6 spliceosomal RNA